UACAGAGGGGGCGAGCGUUAUUCGGAAUUAUUGGGCGUAAAGGGCGCGUAGGCGGCUGGGCAAGUCCAAGGUGAAAUCCCUCGGCUCAACCGAGGAACUGCCUUGGAAACUGCCCGGCUUGAGGCCGGGAGAGGGUAGUGGAAUUCCCAGUGUAGCGGUGAAAUGCGUAGAUAUUGGGAGGAACACCGGUGGCGAAGGCGGCUACCUGGACCGGUUCUGACGCUGAUGCGCGAAAGCGUGGGGAGCAAACAGG
rnacentral:rRNA from 1 species